rnacentral:misc_RNA from 1 species
AACGCACAUUGCGCCCUUCGGUAUUCCGAGGGGCAUGCCUGUUCGAGCGUCAUUUCAACCUCAAGCUCAGCUUGGUAUUGGAGUCCGCCCCCGGGGAGGCGCCUCCGAAAAACAGCGGCACAACUGCCCGGCGAUCUAAGCGUAGUAAAUCAUUCUCGCUAACUGUCACCGGGCGAUGUUGUUGCCGGACAAUCAACCUUUUUAUUUUUCAGUUUGACCUCAAAUCAGGUAGGACUACCCGCUGAACUUAA